rnacentral:lncRNA from 1 species
UUUAAAGAUUACCCUUUCAACAAAUAAUUAAGUAUAAAAUGCCAUCAAUCGAGGCUGCUAAUAUCCUAAUCAUUUAAAGAUUACCCUUUCAACAAAUAAUUAAGUAUAAAAUGCCAUCAAUUGGAGUCAAAAAAUGAAUAUUUGAAUUUAUUAAGAUCUCUAACCUUCAUUUCUUUUGAUGUUGCAAAUUUAUAUUCAAUCUCUAGGUCAUCUUUCGAAUCAAUUGACAAUGCAAAACAUAUUGUAUAAAAUGGACAAAUCUAAGGUAAUUGUGUUUUCUUAUAUUUAGGUAAGGUUUUUGUUAAGGUUUCGAAAAUAAUUUCAUUUUAACUUUGUUUUCACGUUGCAUUGUUAAAGUUAACUAUGCGAGCUUCCAAGAAGUUUAAACGACGGAGAGCUACAAUUGUUGUGGCAAUUUGAGAGACCAAUAAGAGACUACAGCUGUCAAGCGAACCAGAAAAUUCUAUAUCUACUCCAAUUAAUGAUAAGCAAAACACGCAGCCUACAAAUGCAAAUGUAGAAGCUCCGAAAAAGGAAAGGUGUCCAACUCAAGUGAAAAUGAUUCCUGGAAAUAGUUAUUAGAACAUGGAUCUCGAAUUCAAUGAGUAUGGGCAAGUAGUUGGCCGUAACUCAGAUAAAUUUGCUAAUGUAGUUAGAGCCAUGGUACGAGAACAUAUGCUUGCUGUAAUUAAAGAUUGACAUUCGGUUGAUGGGAAGUAAAAAAUGAAACUUUGGAAUUUCGUACAGGUAUAUCUCUUAUCUACCUUUUAAGAUUAUUACAUUAUAUUCUUUUCAGACUUUAAUUUAUUUUUGUAUACAAGUACAACAAAUGUUCAAUGUGAGUGAUUAUUAUCAAAAAAUAACAAUUCAAUGUAUGGGAAAGUAUUGAAGGACAUUUAAGUCAAGACUGAAAAAACAAAUCAAAACUCAAGUCGAAUCAUACGUGAAUAGAGCUUGCACUAUGGCCUUUCUUAGACCGAAGAAUGUUAAAUCUGAACAAGCAUGGGAAAAUUUUGUCAAGGAUAUGCUUUCUGCUGACUUUCGUGUAAGUAUAUUUACAUACGAGGCUUCAACUUUUUAUAAUUACUUUACAUUAUUAAUAUUUGGUAUUCGUAAUAGGAAAAAAGUUUCAAGUUUAGCAGCAUGAGAACAUCUCAGAAGCUUGUCCACAAUAUGGGUUGAAAGGGUUAUCCAUGCCCAUGAAAUGGUAGAAUUACAAACAUAUCUAAUCUUCUUAUUUGAAUUGUCACACUCUAAUUUAUGUAAUUACUAGAUUUUUAUUGCAGGGGAAAAAUAUUCUAGAUAUAAAAUGAUUGAGAACUAGAGUAUAGACUCAUGGAUAUCUUAGAAAAGAUGGAAAAUCGAUAAAUUACAGUUGCUGAAACUUUAGUAUGUGUAUUAUAUCAAUGUUCAACUAAGAUUAAUUUGAUUUACUAUAUGUACCACUUGUUAAUAUAAAAUUUGAGUUCCAUGACUAAAGAAAAUGAUUGAAGUGUGUGCCCAAUCAAUUUCUGAUACACCAGCAGAAUCCCCAUUCGAGAUGAUGCUGUUGCUCGAUUUUUAGGUCCUGGACGCCAUGGAAGAGUUAGAGGACUUGGAUUUAAAGAUCCAUCAUCAAAAGUGGAUAGAAAAAUUCAAAAUAAUAUAAGAGUUAGAGAACUUCAAAGUCAACCACAAACUCAUUAAGAAAGGGGGGCAUUAGAAGAAAAGUUUGAAGUACUUCUCAAACUAUCUCAACAGGUUAUAAUCUGACCAUUAUAUAUACUGUGGUAAUAGUGCUUAAUACAGUCAAUUACAUGUAAAUUUACUUUUAUAAUUUUUGUAUCAUCUUACAUGAAUAUAGAGGAUAGGAGUUCAUGUGCUUUUAUUCCCCAGGUUUUUGUAUCCUACAUUAUUAAAUGUUUGUUGAAUUUGUAGACGCACCAAGGAAGUGGUGUCCAAGGAGGUACUGCACACCUGAAAAAUGCAAGGUGUUAACUAUUGCAUUGGUACGUUUUUUAGGAGGAAGAAAUUAUAGCGGAAGGGAAGAUUGUAACAACAGACCUAAGUGCAAAUGUGCAUCACUUGCCACUCGAACGAGACUGUUGGAAGGUUUGGAUUAAAGAGGUGUAUAUGGGUGAUUUAACCUCUAUAAAGACCUACACAUGAACUUAGAACUCUUAGUGAUGCCAUGAGAAGUACUGUUGAUUGGCCAAAGAGCAGUAUUAAACUUAUUUGAUGAAAGUAUAUUUCGUAGACUAAUUACAUACAUGUAUGAAUCUAUUUUUAUUUUCAAAAUCAAUUGUAGUUCUAUUUACACAUGAG